GGAUAUAAAUCAAUGAUAAUAUUAGUACACAUUAAAAGGCCACAGAUAUAAAACAAAAAAUAAUAAUAAUUGUUUUAUAUAUCUGUGCAUAAGGCUACGGCAUAGAUGUAUAUCAUCAUUUCAAAGUGUAUUAGAUGUUGUACCUUUGGUUAGGCUAGGUUAAUUGUACAAGGCAGCUAUAAGCCCACAACUUAAAAUUUCUAUUUUUCUCUGCAAAAUGCUGGACUGCAACAAGUUGUAGCAUAAUUAACGCAUCCGUGAUAAAAAUAAAGUAACGAGCGCGUAAAGAAAUCGGACGAACUUUAUUCAAGCAGAUAAAUAUUUCGGCCGAACCAUAUUUAAUCCGAAAAUUACAGCCGACCGUAAUAAAGAGAUAAGGUCAGAUCUUCCAAAAAACGAUACCCAACACGUGAUGGAAAUAAAUUAAAAUAAGAGAAAUUUCGUAGAUACAUUUUAAAAUGAAAAACAUUGUCAUUAAUUUCUUAUUUCUAAAUUUCGGUGUUGAAAUUUUUGAUUUCCGUCCACCCGUUGACGAGAUAUUCUACUUUUUAAGUAUGGGUUGGUGGAGUUGGGUGGUGGUACAUUAUUAAUACGUCGCCCACCGUACCGCCAUACAAAUGACAUUCCUCUAGUCUCCUCCAACCAAACUUAAAAGUGGAAAAUCUUGUCAACGGGUUGACAGAAAUCAAAAAUUUCAACACCUAAAUUUAUUUUAAAUAAUACUCCAUCUAUUUAAGAAAUUUUCAAAAUAGGUUGCUAUUUGAAAAUCAAAAGUAGACAGUCACUUACCCCCAAUAAUAAGAGGUACAAAAAAUAAUGAUAACGUAACAUACUAAAACUAUUUGAUUCUUAAGUUUUCAAAAAAAA